rnacentral:rRNA from 1 species
CUCCAUGUGUAGCGGUGAAAUGCGUAGAUAUAUGGAAGAACACCAGUGGCGAAAGCGGCUCUCUGGUCUGUAACUGACGCUGAGGUUCGAAAGCGUGGGUAGCAAACAGGAUUAGAUACCCUGGUAGUCCACGCCGUAAACGAUGAGUGCUAAGUGUUGGAGGGUUUCCGCCCUUCAGUGCUGCAGCUAACGCAUUAAGCACUCCGCCUGGGGAGUACGGUCGCAAGACUGAAACUCAAAGGAAUUGACGGGGGCCCGCACAAGCGGUGGAGCAUGUGGUUUAAUUCGAAGCAACGCGAAGAGCCUUACCAGGUCUUGACAUCUUCUGACAAUUCCAGAGAUGGAACGUUCCCUUCGGGGACAGAAUGAC